rnacentral:rRNA from 1 species
AGAUUGAACGCUGGCGGCAGGCCUAACACAUGCAAGUCGAGCGGCAGCACGGGUACUUGUACCUGGUGGCGAGCGGCGGACGGGUGAGUAAUGCCUAGGAAUCUGCCUGGUAGUGGGGGAUAACGCUACGGAAACGGACGCUAAUACCGCAUACGUCCUACGGGAGAAAGCAGGGGACCUUCGGGCCUUGCGCUAUCAGAUGAGCCUAGGUCGAUUAGCUAGUUGGUGAGGUAAUGGCUCACCAAGGCGACGAUCCGUAACUGGUCUGAGAGGAUGAUCAGUCACACUGGAACUG